rnacentral:rRNA from 1 species
GACGUAGGGCGCGAGCGUUGUCCGGAUUUAUUGGGCGUAAAGAGCUCGUAGGCGGUGUGUCGCGUCGGCCGUGAAAACCUGCAGCUCAACUGUGGGCUUGCGGUCGAUACGGGCAUCACUGGAGUUCGGCAGGGGAGACUGGAAUUCCUGGUGUAGCGGUGAAAUGCGCAGAUAUCAGGAGGAACACCGGUGGCGAAGGCGGCAUCCUGGACCAAUAUUGACGCUGAGGAGCGAAAGCUAGGGGAGCAAACGGG